CCUACGGGUGGCAGCAGUGAGGGAUAUUGGUCAAUGGGGGAAACCCUGAACCAGCAACGCCGCGUGAGGGAAGACGGUUUUCGGAUUGUAAACCUCUGUCCUCUGUGAAGAUAAUGACGGUAGCAGAGGAGGAAGCUCCGGCUAAUUACGGGCCAGCAGCCGCGGGAAUACGUUGGGAGCAAGCGUUGUCCGGAUUUAAUGGGUGUAAAGGGCGUGUAGCGGGGUUGACAAGUCAGAUGUGAAAUCCUGGGGCUUAACCGCAGAACUGCAUUUGAAACUGUUGAUCUUGAGUACUGUAGAGGCAGACGGAAUUCCUAGUGUAGCGGUGAAAUGCGUAGAUAUUAGGAGGAACACCAGUGGCGAAGGCGGUCUGCUGGACAGCAACUGACGGUGAGGCGCGAAAGCGUGGGGAGCAAACAGGAUUAGAUACCCCUGUAGUC
rnacentral:rRNA from 1 species